rnacentral:lncRNA from 1 species
CCAUUCCUUUUGCUCCAAGCAUAUGUUAUCCAUUCCAUUCCCAAAAAUGCUCCAAAAUGCAUUUCUUUGCCACAUUAACCCUUUGGACCUACAAACCCACAAAAAUAGCUUAAAAUACUAAAUUAACUACGAACUAACAACAUAAAUGCCAAGAAACAAGCUAACUAAGUCGCAUAAAUAUGCUCCUAUCAAAUUCCCCCACACUUAGCUUUUGCUAGUCCUCGAGCAAAACAAAAGAAACAAAACAAAACAAAACACAACCUAGACCUUCCAACAAUUGCCUCAGGGAUUUUUAAUGAAACAUGACAUGUUAAAAAUCAUCAUUCCCACAGAUUUUGGGCAUCCUUACACAUGAGCACAUACGUAAUCACAGUCACCACUUACUAGUUCUCAAUUCCUUACAAGAUACUCUCUAUUUUCACACACAUUUUCUGACUACACACCCUACACUAGUAUAUGUGAGAAGAUUGAUGUAAACACAAAAGAUUAGGUCUCACAUAUAUUAUAACAAAGAAAGCAAUUUUCUGGAGUUAUUAAGCAUGUUUAGAUAUGAUCUCAUGAAUGGAAUGCUAUUACUUAGAUGCGAGAACUAGUGACACCAUAUGCUCAUACCAAUUUCGAACUCCACAAAUUGAAACACACAACACUCAAGAUU